rnacentral:rRNA from 1 species
GGGCCCGCACAAGCGGUGGAGCAUGUGGUUUAAUUCGAUGAUACGCGAGGAACCUUACCAGGGCUUAAAUGGGAGAUGACAGGGGCAGAGACGCCCUUUUCUUCGGACAUCUUUCAAGGUGCUGCAUGGUUGUCGUCAGCUCGUGCCGUGAGGUGUCAGGUUAAGUCCUAUAACGAGCGCAACCCCUACCGUUAGUUGCCAGCGAUUCAAGUCGGGGACUCUAACGGGACUGCCGGUGCAAACCGUGAGGAAGGUGGGGACGACGUCAAAUCAUCACGGCCCUUACGUCCUGGGCUACACACGUGCUACAAUGGUCGGUACAGAGGGCGGCCAACUUGCGAAAGUGAGCGAAUCCCAAAAAGUGCGUCGUAGUCCGGAUUGGAGUCUGCAACUCGACUCCAUG